AAGAUUUGUUGAAAGCGGAAGAGGAGCAGGACGGUGGCCAUGGAAGGCGGAAUCCGCUAAGGAGUGUGUAACAACUCACCUGCCGAAUCAACCAGCCCUGAAAAUGCGUGGCGCUGGA
rnacentral:ncRNA from 1 species